rnacentral:rRNA from 1 species
UACGUAGGGUGCAAGCGUUAAUCGGAAUUACUGGGCGUAAAGCGUGCGCAGGCGGUUGUGCAAGACAGAUGUGAAAUCCCCGGGUUCAACCUGGGAAUUGCAUUUGUGACUGCACGGCUAGAGUGUGUCAGAGGGGGGUAGAAUUCCACGUGUAGCAGUGAAAUGCGUAGAGAUGUGGAGGAAUACCGAUGGCGAAGGCAGCCCCCUGGGAUAACACUGACGCUCAUGCACGAAAGCGUGGGGAGCAAACAGG